rnacentral:rRNA from 1 species
UACGUAGGUGGCAAGCGUUGUCCGGAUUUACUGGGCGUAAAGGGCGUGCAGGCGGUCUGUUAAGUCUAGGGUGAAAGCUCCCCGGCUCAACUGGGAGAGGUCCUUGGAUACUGGCGGACUUGAGGGGAGGUAGAGGAAAGUGGAAUUCCCGGUGUAGUGGUGAUAUGCGUAGAUAUCGGGAGGAACACCAGUGGCGAAGGCGGCUUUCUGGGCCUUACCUGACGCUGAGACGCGAAAGCGUGGGGGAGCGAACCGG